rnacentral:lncRNA from 1 species
GUUUUUGGAAGAUCAAGGGAAUUAGAGAGAGAAGCUUCAUGCUUCGGGUCGGGGAAGGAAAGACAUAGAAUUUGGAUUUUUCUUCUUCGUAGAGUUUUGGGAAGACUGAGGCAAUCGCUGCUGAAGUCAGUGUUAUAAUGGUGAAUCGGGAUUUUUAAAUGAAGUGGGUUUGAAUACUCUUGACUGUUUUGUAAAAUCGAGGUACGUCUGUGAUUGAAGGAUUAAAGGGGUGUCUAUAGGAUUGAGUAUGCGGAGUGAAUGAAAUUUAUUGGGUUAA